AUUGGCAGUGCCCCUGCAUGAGGGUUAAAAACACCAGAAAGUCUGCCUGCUUGGAGGGUACCUUCUCAAAAUAUCCUUCAAGAACUCCACCAGUGGGGGGGUAGUCUGUCCAAACCUCCCUGUAACAGACAURCUGGCCUCUUCCCUCAAGCCUGACAGAUACUUCUGGACUCCCUG